rnacentral:lncRNA from 1 species
CUUAAUUUUGGAACACUUUGCUGCACUAAUAGACUGUACUUUCUUGUGUGCUACAAUCAAAAUGAGCUUUAUGUUUCAGCAGGAAGAUAGAGUGAAGAUUACAAUUUAAGAAACAUGAGCUCCCAGUUGUUACACUUUAAAGUUUUUUAUUAUCUCCUGCAGGUUCAUCUUCCUUCCUGUACAGUAUUUUCAAACUUCCCAGUCAUUAAAAAUAAGAAUAUUUCUCAUGUUCAUACCAUGGAUUUUUCUCCGAGAAGUGGAUACUUUGCCUUGGGGAAUGAAAAGGGCAAGGCCCUGAUGUAUAGGUUGCACCAUUACUCAGACUUCUAAAGAGACUAUUUGAAGUAAGAAAACCCUUUUCUUACAAAUUCUGCAGGUUUUAAGAUACACCCAUUGCUGUCAGUUGGUGGAAGCAGCACAUUAGCUGAGCUUUGUUUCUCUACCCCUAAGUUACUGCAUCUUUAUUUAGAGGGGUGGGUUGGAAGUAGAUCAGGAACUGUCUAGCUGAAGUUGGACCCUCCUUUCUUAUCCCAAAUCACAGCAAUCUGGCUCGGUUCUUCUGAGGUCUGAUCUCUAAUGUUGCAUUCAAUAAUUCUCAUCAAAAUUGUAAUUACUGAACAUGUUUAAUCCACAAAAGACUUAAUAACACAGAGAGAUGGGUCUUCAGAUAUAGCUAUAGCUUGUAUGAGCUUGAAUCCUCUUAUUAUAUAUAUGUUUCUUGAGAGAUUAGCAGCUUGCUCUGUUUCACAGAGCUAGAUAAUGGGGCUGGCCAUUAGUUCUGCUGCCCAAUAUUUAAAACCAUAGAACAUCCUUCCCUUCUCAUGGUGUCCUUUCAGGCCUGAGAUGUGGUGGUUCUGAGAUUGAGCUUUGCAAUUGGCCUCUUCAUCACAGUUGACUGUUUGGUCUCCUCAGAGAUUAAUGAAUGUUGAGGGACUUUGAGAAUGCAGAUAGAUUUAAUUAGGACAAAGGAUUUUUAAAGGUACAGGCAUUUUGGGCAAAGCUUUAGCAAGGAGGGGAAAGCAGUUUAGCUCUCCUGUCUCAAAAGAUUACAUUGCCAGUACGUGUCUGUUGAUGACCAGCAGCUAUAAAUCAGGUAUGUAAUUUCUUUUGUUCUUUCCUCAGGUCCAGUUGAGUCACAAGAGAAGCCUGUCUUGAUAUAUCAUCUCAGAAACUUUCCUGAAUAUGUGAUAAUAUAUGGAAAAUGAUUUAUAGAUCCAGCUGUGCUUAAGAGCCAGUAAUGUCUUAAUAAAC